CGAAGGAGAGGAAUCUUACCUCUGAUGCCGAGAUAGGUAGAUGUGAUGUUUACUUAAGAGCCCAUACAAGCAAGGACAAAGUUGUCCAGUACCCUGACCUUAUUGAAAAAUUAGAUGAGCUUUAUUCUAGCAAUCCUUCUUCUAAUAUUAUCGGUGUUGACGAUGCCCUUACACAGUUGGUUGGUUCUGACAGUAGAGGGUGAAUGCGAGGUCUAGGUUGCUCAAUAACCAAGACAGGACUGAAGAUGUCAGCCCUUGCCCGUUCAAAGGUAGAGAAUUUGAAAAAAGAAAGAGAUAGCCUAGUGCAGGAGAUAUUUGAUAUAAAGAAAUCAUUGGCCAAGAUGGAGGCAUGGAUGGAGAUGCAGCAACACGCACAAUCUACUCAAAACCUCUCAUCACCAACAAUUGCUAAAUCUGCUCAGG